GUCAAGUCAUCAUGGCCCUUAUGUCCAGGGCUACACACGUGCUACAAUGGCCGGCACAAAGCGAAGCGAGCCUGAGAGGGUAAAGCGAAUCGCAUAAAGGCGGCCGUAGUUCGGAUUGAAGUCUGAAACCCGACUUCAUGAAGCUGGAAUCGCUAGUAAUCGCGCAUCAGCAUGGCGCGGUGAAUACGUUCCCGGGCCUU
rnacentral:rRNA from 1 species